UUCCGUAGGUGAACCUGCGGAAGGGAUCAUUACUGAUUUGCUUAAUUGCACCACAUGUGUUUUUUAUUGAACAAAUUUCUUUGGUGGCGGGAGCAAUCCUACCGCCAGAGGUUAUAACUAAACCAAACUUUUUAUUUACAGUCAAACUUGAUUUAUUAUUACAAUAGUCAAAACUUUCAACAACGGAUCUCUUGGUUCUCGCAUCGAUGAAGAACGCAGCGAAAUGCGAUACGUAAUAUGAAUUGCAGAUAUUCGUGAAUCAUCGAAUCUUUGAACGCACAUUGCGCCCUUUGGUAUUCCAAAGGGCAUGCCUGUUUGAGCGUCAUUUCUCCCUCAAACCCCCGGGUUUGGUGUUGAUCAAUACCUAGGUUUGUUUGAAAGAAUUUAACGUGGAAACUUAUUUUAAGCGACUUAGGUUUAUCCAAAAACGCUUAUUUUGCUAGUGGCCACCACAAUUUAUUUCAUAACUUUGACCUCAAAUCAGGUAGGACUACCCGCUGAACUUAAGCAUAUCAAUAAGCGGAGGAAACCAACAGGGAUUGCCUUAGUAGCGGCGAGUGAAGCGGCAAAAGCUCAAAUUUGAAAUCUGGCUCUUUCAGAGUCCGAGUUGUAAUUUGAAGAAGGUAUCUUUGGGUCUGGCUCUUGUCUAUGUUUCUUGGAACAGAACGUCACAGAGGGUGAGAAUCCCGUGCGAUGAGAUGAUCCGGGCCUAUUUAAUUUCUUUGAAGAGUCGAGAUGUUUGGGAAUGCAGCUCUAAGUGGGUGGUAAAUCCCAUCUAAAGCUAAAUAUUGGCGAGAGACCGAUAGCGAACAAGUACAGUGAUGGAAAGAUGAAAAGAACUUUGAAAAGAGAGUGAAAAAGUACGUGAAAUUGUUGAAAGGGAAGGGCUUGACAUCAGACUUGGUAUUUUGUAUGUUACUUCUUCGGGGGUGGCCUCUACAGUUUAUCGGGCCAGCAUCAGUUUGGGCGGUAGGAGAAUUGCGUUGGAAUGUGGCACGGCUUCGGUUGUGUGUUAUAGCCUUCGUCGAUACUGCCAGCCUAGACUGAGGACUGC
rnacentral:rRNA from 1 species